rnacentral:rRNA from 1 species
CGCGUAGGCGGGAUGGUAAGUCGGUCGUGAAAUCCCUCGGCUCAACCGAGGAACGUCGAUCGAUACUACCGUUCUUGAGGAUUGCAGAGGAGACUGGAAUUCCCGGUGUAGCGGUGAAAUGUGUAGAGAUCGGGAGGAACACCGGUGGCGAAGGCGGGUCUCUGGGCAAUUCCUGACGCUGAGGCGCGAAAGCGUGGGGAGCAAACGGGAUUAGAUACCCCGGUAGUCCACGCUGUAAACGAUGAGCACUAGGUGUGGGGGGGUUCAGUCCCUUCCGUGCCGCAGCUAACGCAUUAAGUGCUCCGCCUGGGGAGUACGGCCGCAAGGUUAAA